rnacentral:misc_RNA from 1 species
AGGAAAGAGUCUAAUGAGGUGCAGCA